UGGGGAAUAUUGGACAAUGGGCGAAAGCCUGAUCCAGCCAUGCCGCGUGAGUGAUGAAGGCCCUAGGGUUGUAAAGCUCUUUUGUGCGGGAAGAUAAUGACGGUACCGCAAGAAUAAGCCCCGGCUAACUUCGUGCCAGCAGCCGCGGUAAUACGAAGGGGGCUAGCGUUGCUCGGAAUCACUGGGCGUAAAGGGUGCGUAGGCGGGUUUCUAAGUCAGAGGUGAAAGCCUGGAGCUCAAC
rnacentral:rRNA from 1 species